rnacentral:rRNA from 1 species
CAAUAAGCGGAGGAAAAGAAACCAACAGGGAUUGCCCCAGUAACGGCGAGUGAAGCGGCAACAGCUCAGAUUUGAAAUCUGGCCCCCAGGGCCCGAGUUGUAAUCUGUAGAGGAUGCUUCUGGCAAGGCGCCGUCCGAGUUCCCUGGAACGGGACGCCGGAGAGGGUGAGAGCCCCGUACAGGCGGACGCCGAGCCUCUGUGAAGCUCCUUCGACGAGUCGAGUAGUUUGGGAAUGCUGCUCAAAGCGGGAGGUAAAUUUCUUCUAAAGCUAAAUAUAGGCCAGAGACCGAUAGCGCACAAGUAGAGUGAUCGAAAGAUGAAAAGCACUUUGAAAAGAGGGUUAAAAAGCACGUGAAAUUGUUGAAAGGGAAGCGCCUGUGACCAGACUCGCGCCCGGCGGAUCAUCCGGCGUUCUCGCCGGUGCACUCCGCCGGGCUCGGGCCAGCAUCGGUUCUGGUGGGGGGAUAAAGGCGGCGGGGAUGUGGCUCCCCCGGGAGUGUUAUAGCCCGCCGCUCAAUGCCCCCGCCGGGACCGAGGACCGCGCAUUUGCAAGGAUGCUGGCGUAAUGGUCACCAGCGACCCGUCUUGAAGCACGACCAAGGAGUCAAGCAUUAGGGCUAUUAGGGGGGGGGGGGAAAAAAACGCACGCGAAAUGAAGUGAAACGUAGGUGGGAGCCUCGGCGCACCAUCGACCGAUCCUGAAGUCUUCGGAUGGAUUUGAGUAGAGCCUUACCGCUUGACCGAAGAUGGUGACUAUGCUUGUGUAGGUGAGCUAGAGGAACUCUGGUGGAGGCUCGCAGCGUUCUGACGUGCAA